rnacentral:rRNA from 1 species
GACGAACGCUGGCGGCGUGCUUAACACAUGCAAGUCGAACGGUAAGGCCCUUCGGGGUACACGAGUGGCGAACGGGUGAGUAACACGUGGGUGAUCUGCCCUGCACUUCGGGAUAAGCCUGGGAAACUGGGUCUAAUACCGGAUAGGACCACUGCCUGCAUGGGUGGUGGUGGAAAGCUUUUGCGGUGUGGGAUGGGCCCGCGGCCUAUCAGCUUGUUGGUGGGGUGAUGGCCUACCAAGGCGACGACGGGUAGCCGGCCUGAGAGGGUGACCGGCCACACGGGGACGGAGAUACGGCCCAGACUCCGACGGGAGGCAGCAGUGGGGAAUAUUGCACAAUGGGCGCAAGCCUGAUGCAGCGACGCCGCGUGAGGGAUGACGGCCUUCGGGUUGUAAACCUCUUUCAGCACCGACGAAGCGCAAGUGACGGUAGGUGCAGAAGAAGGACCGGCCAACUACGUGCCAGCCGCCGCUGUAA